rnacentral:lncRNA from 1 species
UGCAGAUCUUACAUGCAAAAGCCACAGCUCUCCACCUGUGAAAACUGACUCAUGUUUUCAUGGGGGAAAAAAAAAAGUGUUUUUUUGUUUUUUUUUUUUUAAAGAUCAGCAACUGAGAACAGAAGUUAGUAUUGUUUGCAUUAUCUUGGAGAUGUGAGCAGCUGACCACAGGGAAUUUGGAUCAGAGGUAAUAAGGUAACUUAUUUUAUUGAAGCAGGGCACAGCCCAACAGCACUUGAACAAGGAACAGGCCUUGCCUGGGGAAGUUGAAGAAAGCAGGAGCAGAGAGGUGACAUGGUAUUGGAAGGAACUGACCUGGAGGAACUCCAUCCCACCCAGGAUGCAAAUUAUCCUUCAACGGGCUAUGGGUUCAAAACGAGGGCAAAAAGCCAAGAUUCUUCAUAAACAAAAAUCACCAGCUUAAUUUUUCCCUGCAAAAAGUAUUCUCCUCCUUGGGCCCCCACGGGGAUGCUGCCUGCUGGGGUUUUCCAUUAGUUCUCCUUCUCGUCUGGGAAACAGGGUGAUUGUCAUACCCUAGCAGGGCCAAAAGUAUUGGGAACACGGAUCAAAAGUUGUACCCCUCUCGGCCACCAAGUGCUAUGCUUUAGCCAUGAACUAUAUAACAUGGAACUGAGGGCUCAAAUGCCUCAGUGGUUUAGAACGUGAGGAGUCGGAGGAAAGUCAGAAUAUUGACAGAUUAUUCCUUUGGAAAAUCCAAAUGAAAAGUAAG